AGAGUUUGAUCAUGGCUCAGAUUGAACGCUGGCGGCAGGCCUAACACAUGCAAGUCGAGCGGUAGCACAGAGAGCUUGCUCUCGGGUGACGAGCGGCGGACGGGUGAGUAAUGUCUGGGAAACUGCCUGAUGGAGGGGGAUAACUACUGGAAACGGUAGCUAAUACCGCAUAAUGUCGCAAGACCAAAGUGGGGGACCUUCGGGCCUCAUGCCAUCAGAUGUGCCCAGAUGGGAUUAGCUAGUAGGUGGGGUAACGGCUCACCUAGGCGACGAUCCCUAGCUGGUCUGAGAGGAUGACCAGCCACACUGGAACUGAGACACGGUCCAGACUCCUACGGGAGGCAGCAGUGGGGAAUAUUGCACAAUGGGCGCAAGCCUGAUGCAGCCAUGCCGCGUGUGUGAAGAAGGCCUUCGGGUUGUAAAGCACUUUCAGCGGGGAGGAAGGCGGUGAGGUUAAUAACCUCAUCGAUUGACGUUACCCGCAGAAGAAGCACCGGCUAACUCCGUGCCAGCAGCCGCGGUAAUACGGAGGGUGCAAGCGUUAAUCGGAAUUACUGGGCGUAAAGCGCACGCAGGCGGUCUGUCAAGUCGGAUGUGAAAUCCCCGGGCUCAACCUGGGAACUGCAUUCGAAACUGGCAGGCUAGAGUCUUGUAGAGGGGGGUAGAAUUCCAGGUGUAGCGGUGAAAUGCGUAGAGAUCUGGAGGAAUACCGGUGGCGAAGGCGGCCCCCUGGACAAAGACUGACGCUCAGGUGCGAAAGCGUGGGGAGCAAACAGGAUUAGAUACCCUGGUAGUCCACGCCGUAAACGAUGUCGAUUUGGAGGUUGUGCCCUUGAGGCGUGGCUUCCGGAGCUAACGCGUUAAAUCGACCGCCUAGGGAGUACGGCCGCAAGGUUAAAACUCAAAUGAAUUGACGGGGGCCCGCACAAGCGGUGGAGCAUGUGGUUUAAUUCGAUGCAACGCGAAGAACCUUACCUGGUCUUGACAUCCACAGAACUUUCCAGAGAUGGAUUGGUGCCUUCGGGAACUGUGAGACAGGUGCUGCAUGGCUGUCGUCAGCUCGUGUUGUGAAAUGUUGGGUUAAGUCCCGCAACGAGCGCAACCCUUAUCCUUUGUUGCCAGCGGUCCGGCCGGGAACUCAAAGGAGACUGCCAGUGAUAAACUGGAGGAAGGUGGGGAUGACGUCAAGUCAUCAUGGCCCUUACGACCAGGGCUACACACGUGCUACAAUGGCAUAUACAAAGAGAAGCGACCUCGCGAGAGCAAGCGGACCUCAUAAAGUAUGUCGUAGUCCGGAUUGGAGUCUGCAACUCGACUCCAUGAAGUCGGAAUCGCUAGUAAUCGUAGAUCAGAAUGCUACGGUGAAUACGUUCCCGGGCCUUGUACACACCGCCCGUCACACCAUGGGAGUGGGUUGCAAAAGAAGUAGGUAGCUUAACCUUCGGGAGGGCGCUUACCACUUUGUGAUUCAUGACUGGGGUGAAGUCGUAACAAGGUAACCGU
rnacentral:rRNA from 1 species